UGGCGCCGAAGACGACGAGGA
rnacentral:misc_RNA from 1 species